ACGGCUCAGUAACACGUAGCUAACCUACCCUUGGGACGGGUACAACCCCGGGAAACUGAGGUUAAUACCCGAUAGGUGUGGAAUCCUGGAAUGGUACCACGCCCAAAUGUAAACGCAUCCAUGUUUGCGUACACGCCCGAGGAUGGGGCUGCGGCCGAUCAGGCAGUUGGUGAGGUAACGGCUCACCAAACCUUUGACCGGUACGGGUCAUGAGAGUGGUAGCCCGGAGAUGGGCACUGAGACAAGGGCCCAGGCCCUACGGGGCGCAGCAGGCGCGAAACCUCCACAAUUCACGAAAGUGAGAUGGGGUUACCUCGAGUGCCGCCUGAAGAAGGCGGCUUUUCCAUUGUGUAAUGAGCCGUGGGAAUAAGAGGGGGGCAAGACUGGUGUCAGCCGCCGCGGUAACACCAGCCCCUCGAGUGGUGGGGAUGAUUAUUUGGCCUAAAGCGUCCGUAGCCUGCUCUGUAAAUCUUUCGUUAAAUCCAGCGUCCUAAGCGUUGGGCUGCGAGAGAGACUGCAGAGCUAGAGGGUGGGAGAGGUCAGCGGUAUUCCUGGGGUAGGGGCGAAAUCCAUUGAUCCCAGGAGGACCACCAGUGGCGAAGGCUGCUGACUAGAACACGCCUGACGGUGAGGGACGAAAGCUGGGGUAGCGAAUCGGAUUAGAUACCCGAGUAGUCCCAGCCGUAAACGAUGCAGGCUAGGUGUUGGGUUGGCCACGUGCCAGCUCAGUGCCACAGGGAAGCCAUUAAGCCUGCCGCCUGGGGAGUACGGCCGCAAGGCUGAAACUUAAAGGAAUUGGCGGGGGAGCACA
rnacentral:rRNA from 1 species